rnacentral:siRNA from 1 species
AACCGCCUGAUGGUACUCCUAACA